CAACCCAAGCUCCAACCACUGAACAAUUCUCUUUCUCUAUUCUUGGAAGGUCAAGUUUCAUGCAUAAAAGUGCCAUAGAUCUAAAAGUCCUACUGAUUCCUCUGGGCAUGUUGGUGGUGGUGAUAGCUGGUGUCCUAGUCACAUGGAAGAUGUGGAGAAAGCAUAAGGACAAUAAGGCCAUGGACCAGACAACAAACACCUCAGUGGUAGGCUACACUCAUGUUCCUCUCAUCUGACUCAAGGCCU